rnacentral:rRNA from 1 species
CCUACGGGUGGCAGCAGUGAGGAAUAUUGGUCAAUGGGCGCGAGCCUGAACCAGCCAAGUAGCGUGAAGGAUGACUGCCCUACGGGUUGUAAACUUCUUUUAUAAAGGAAUAAAGUGAGGCACGUGUGCCGUUUUAUAUGUACUUUAUGCAUAAGGAUCGGCUAACUCCGUUCCAGCAGCCGCGGUAAUACGGAGGAUCCGAGCGUUAUCCGGAUUUAGUGGGUUUAAAGGGAGCGUAGAUGGGUUGUUAAGUCAGUUGUGAAAGUUUGCGGCUCAACCGUACAAUUGCAAAUGAUACUGGCAGUCUUGAGUACAGUUGAGGUAGGCGGAAUUCGUGGUGUAGCGGUGAAAUGCUUAGAUAUCACGAAGAACUCCGAUUGCGAAGGCAGCUUACUAAACUGCCACUGACAUUGAUGCUCGAAAGUGUGGGUAUCAAACAGGAUUAGAUACCCGGGUAGUC